UUAGGAAUCUUCCCCAAUGGGCGGAAACCUGAGGGAGCGACACUGCGUGAAGGAUGACAGCCUUCGGGUUGUAAACUUCUGAACGAGGGACGACGGUACCUCGCUAACAGCACCGGCUAACUCCGUGCCAGCAGCCGCGGUAAUACGGAGGGUGCAAGCGUUAUCCGGAAUCACUGGGCGUAAAGGGCGCGUAGGCGGUCUAUUAAGUCCGAUGUUAAAGACCGGGGCUCAACCCCGACAUGGCGUUGGAUACUGGUAGGCUUGACGACUGGAGAGGAAAGUAGAAUUACCAGUGUAGCGGUGGAAUGCGUAGAUACUGGUAGGAAUACCCAUUGCGAAGGCAGCUUUCUGGACAGUCCGUGACGCUGAGGCGCGAAAGUGUGGGGAGCAAACCGGAUUAGAUACCCCAGUAGU
rnacentral:rRNA from 1 species